AGCGAACGCUGACGGCAGGCCUAACACAUGCAAGUCGAACGGACCCUUCGGGGUUAGUGGCGGACGGGUGAGUAACACGUGGGAACGUGCCUUUAGGUCCGGAAUAGCUCCUGGAAACGGGUGGUAAUGCCGAAUGUGCCCUUCGGGGGAAAGAUUUAUCGCCUUUAGAGCGGCCCGCGUCUGAUUAGCUAGUUGGUGAGGUAAUGGCUCACCAAGGCGACGAUCAGUAGCUGGUCUGAGAGGAUGACCAGCCACAUUGGGACUGAGACACGGCCCAAACUCCUACGGGAGGCAGCAGUGGGGAAUCUUGCGCAAUGGGCGAAAGCCUGACGCAGCCAUGCCGCGUGAAUGAUGAAGGUCUUAGGAUUGUAAAAUUCUUUCACCGGGGACGAUAAUGACGGUACCCGGAGAAGAAGCCCCGGCUAACUUCGUGCCAGCCGCCGCCGUAAGAC
rnacentral:rRNA from 1 species